AACCAUAGAAACCUGCGGAGUACCUGCGGAGGGAUCAUUACCGAGUUAUACAACUCCCAAACCCACUGUGAACCUUACCUCAGUUGCCUCGGCGGGAACGCCCCGGCCGCCUGCCCCCGCGCCGGCGCCGGACCCAGGCGCCCGCCGCAGGGACCCCAAACUCUCUUGCAUUACGCCCAGCGGGCGGAAUUUCUUCUCUGAGUUGCACAAGCAAAAACAAAUGAAUCAAAACUUUUAACA
rnacentral:misc_RNA from 1 species